rnacentral:rRNA from 1 species
AUUGAACGCUGGCGGCAUGCUUUACACAUGCAAGUCGAACGGUAACAGGCCGCAAGGUGCUGACGAGUGGCGAACGGGUGAGUAAUGCAUCGGAACGUGCCCAGUCGUGGGGGAUAACGCAGCGAAAGCUGCGCUAAUACCGCAUACGAUCGAUGGAUGAAAGCGGGGGACCGUAAGGCCUCGCGCGAUUGGAGCGGCCGAUGUCAGAUUAGGUAGUUGGUGGGGUAAAGGCUCACCAAGCCAACGAUCUGUAGCUGGUCUGAGAGGACGACCAGCCACACUGGGACUGAGACACGGCCCAGACUCCUACGGGAGGCAGCAGUGGGGAAUUUUGGACAAUGGGCGCAAGCCUGAUCCAGCAAUGCCGCGUGCAGGAAGAAGGCCUUCGGGUUGUAAACUACUUUUGUACGGAACGAAACGGUCCUGGUUAAUACCCGGGGCUAAUGACGGUACCGUAAGAAUAAGCACCGGCUAACUACGUGCCAGCCGCCGCAGUAACAC